AGGGGAGUGAAAAAGAACCUGAAACCGUGUACGUACAAGCAGUAGGAGCCCCAUCACUCAAGUGCCUCGCACUGAGUGAUGCAAGAACAUCACCGAAAAUAGCGCCGAAUUUGCUAACAAAGUUGGUCGAUUUUUUCAAGCCGUCGCGCAGUGUACCUAGAAGUACACGAGCAACGGAAGUUAAAAAAUCGGGCAAGAUUGAACGCAAAGGCAAGCGGGACAUUUGAGGAUGGGGUGACUGCGUACCUUUUGUAUAAUGGGUCAGCGACUUAUAUUCUG
rnacentral:rRNA from 13 species